AGGAACUAGUGAUGGACAUUCUGCGAGUACUUGCCUCGCCUGAUCUCGAGGUUCGCAAGAAGACGUUGGAUCUUGUCCUUGAGAUUAUGAACACGAGAAACAUCCAUGAAGUCGUGAUGGUUUUGAAGAAAGAAAUCACCAAGACACACACAGAGGAAAGCACGACGGAAGAUUCCGGCAACUACCGACAGAUCCUCGUCCGUACUCUACACGCAUGCAGCGUCAAGUUCCCGGAUGUUGCAGAAUCUGUUGUUCCCGUU